UGGGGAAUAUUGGACAAUGGGCGCAAGCCUGAUCCAGCAAUACCGCGUGUGUGAAGAAGGCCUGAGGGUUGUAAAGCACUUUCAGUGGGGAGGAAAAAGGAAGGGUUAAUACCCCCUCUAUUGACAUUACCCACAGAAGAAGCACCGGCUAACUCCGUGCCAGCAGCCGCGGUAAUACGGAGGGUGCGAGCGUUAAUCGGAAUUACUGGGCGUAAAGCGUGCGUAGGUGGUUCAUUAAGUUAGAUGUGAAAGCCCUGGGCUUAACCUGGGAACGGCAUUUAAAACUGGUGAGCUAGAGUUAGGUAGAGGGGAGUGGAAUUUCAGGUGUAGCGGUGAAAUGCGUAGAGAUCUGAAGGAACACCCGUGGCGAAGGCGGCUCCCUGGACCCAAACUGACGCUG
rnacentral:rRNA from 1 species